AUUCUGAUAAGUUAAAAUCUGAUUCCUGUUUACUGGCAAAGCGCCGAAAGUCGCGAGAAGAGGAGCCCGCGUCAGAUUAGGUAGUUGGUGGGGUAAAGGCCUACCAAGCCAAUGAUCUGUAGCUGGUCUGAGAGGAUGAUCAGCCACACUGGGACUGAGACACGGCCCAGACUCCUACGGGAGGCAGCAGUGGGGAAUAUUGGACAAUGGGGGAAACCCUGAUCCAGCAAUGCCGCGUGAAUGACGAAGGCCUUAGGGUUGUAAAGUUCUUUCACCUGUGAAGAUAAUGACGGUAGCAGGAGAAGAAGCCCCGGCUAACUCCGUG
rnacentral:rRNA from 1 species